AUGUCCGCAGGGCUCCCAGUUCAGAGAGGGACUCGCUUCUUCGCCUUCGCCCGCGUCCAGCCCGGGCUGCAUUCCACCCCAAGCGGGAGAAACCCCGGCCUGGAGCAGGGCCUCGUCCGCGCGGCCGCGAAGGCGGCAAGGGCGGCGGGGGCGACAAGGGCUUCCGGAGCUCCCCGACUCCUAGCGGGCUUCCUGGACCGAGGGACGGAGGCAGCGAGGGCGGGACGGUGGCAGCCGGCUCCGGACGCGCGUCGCGCGACUGCUGGGCACGUUCCGAGCGCUCAGCGUGUUUUCGGGCACAGCCCUGCGGUCGGGACAGAACGGACGCGGGGCUCGGGGAUGGGCGCACUGCAGCCACGCGGGGCAGCGGAGCGGGCGCGCUCCUUCCACACCGGGUCUGCAAAAGUCAAGUGGAAAGCUGCCGCCGAACGCAGCCACCCUCCCCCUUCCCCGCCGCAGCUUCGGCGGGUGGUGGGGAGAGCUCCCCUGGACCGGCUGGAGGGGAAGCUGGCAGCCGGUUGGGUUCGGUCGCGCCUCCUCCGCCUUCCUCUCCACCCGCGUCCCCCGGGCUCCAUGCCGCAUUUCUUUGUUUUGAAAGCGCCUCCUCCGCCCAGAGGCUUUUCCCCCGAAGGGCAGGCUGACGGGGCGUGGGGCAUCGGCCCGUGGGCCCCGCCCUCCAUUUAGAUGAACCCUCCCCUUCACUCACCUCCCCCAUCUCCCCUUUCCUCCCCGCGGCGACCCACGAGGCGCAUCCUCACUUCUCGGACUUCAAAGAGAGGCUGAGAACUGGAGGGGGAAAGUGGAGUAGGCAGGGGGCGCAGAGACCCAUGUACCUCAGCCCGGGCCCGGCGGCCCGCCCCCUCCCACGGGAACCCCGCCUGAGCCCCGCCCCGCGUCACAGCAGCCUGACAUUCUCACAACCCACCGGGCACCCAAACUGCCCGCCCCCGCCACCCCCGUGUCCGCCAAGCACUCUAUUUAUGUUUCAGCCCAGCGAUUUGCAUAGGCCCCGCCCCCGGCCCUAGGUUCCCCCUAUCGGAGCCCCGCCCCAGCCUCUACGUCACAGCGGAGGCCCCACCUCUUGUGCCCAUACAAGGAGCGGCGGACCCUAGAUGGCAGCGUGGCGUCGCGACGGCGUGUGCGUGUCGCGCUUCCUAGUGCCGUUUAUAGGGUCCCGGCACUUCCGCUGUCGGGUUAGAAGCGGCGCGGUCAUGGCGGAGCGCGGACAGCAGCCUCCUCCCGCGAAACGGCUUUGCUGCCGGCCGGGCGGCGGCGGCGGCGGCGGGGGCAGCAGCGGCGGUAUGGGUGGCGCGGGUGGCGGCUACAGCUCUGCCUGUCGGCCCGGCCCGCGGGCGGGUGGCGCGGCGGCGGCGGCGUGCGGGGCGCGGUGCGGCGCUGGCCGCUGCUGCCGGGCGUUCCUGAAACCGAGUCGCUGCUAACAUCGCGGCGCGCGCAGGGUGGGUGGAGAAGUGCGGUCGCCGUUCCAGCGCGUGAGGAAAGGCCGAGCGCAUCCCGGAGCCGGCGGUGCAGCGCCGCAUUACAGUCUAUUGGUCCUCCCCGUAGCGAGCGGGAGAUCUGCAUGCACUGUCCUCACCGGCGGUGGCGCCGCGGGCGGCCCUGGCGACGACAGCGGCGGUUCCGUGGCGGCGGCGGGCGGCGGCGGAGGCGGGCGGCGGCGCGGCUCCGCUCCCCGGUCGCCACCUCGGCCGCCGCCGCUGCCGCUGCCAGGCCGCCGCCGCGGGGGCCGGGGCCCGUCGGUGGGCUGCCGGGCGGACGGUGACGACGCGGGCUUUCCGCCGGGCAUCGGGUGCGCUGCCAGCGCCGCAGACAACGUCCCGCAAGUGGGUGAGUCACGGGGCAGCCGGGGGCCGUCUGUCCGUCUGUCAGUCCCUGGGUGGGGGGGGGGCGCUCGCUUUUCUCCUGCGGACAGCCCCCAGCCUCACAAGGCGCCUGCACCCCGCGGGUGCGUCUCACUGUCGGACGGUCCUCCCAUGAGCGCCCAUUUCCUCUCUCCCUCGCUGUCCCCGCUGGCCGCCCCGACGCGAGCGCGCGGGAAC
ensembl:lncRNA